GACGAACGCUGGCGGCGUGCUUAAUACAUGCAAGUCGAACGGACCGACUCCGGUAGUGUACUAUGGUGAAAGGGCAGAGGGGGACGUAAGAGUAAAGUGUGGGCAAUCUGCCUCUAAGAUCGGUUUAACAGACUGGAAGUUAUGCCAAGAACGGACACCUGCAACUUGCCGCGUGGUUGGUAAAGGCAAGGGAAGGCUUAGGGAUGAGCCCGCGUCCGAUUAGUUGGUUGGUGAGGGCACGGCACAGCAAGGAAACGAUGGGUAGCCGGGCUGGGAGGGUGGGCGGCCGCGCUGGGACUGAGACACGGACCAGACUCCUACGGGAGGCAGCAGUAGGGAAUUUUCGGCAAUGGGCGAAAGCCUGACCGAGCAACGCCGCGUGAGGGACGAAGGUCUUCGGAUCGUAAACCUUUGUCAUCGAGGACGAUAAUGACGGUACUCGAGGAGGAAGCCCCGGCUAACUACGUG
rnacentral:rRNA from 1 species